rnacentral:rRNA from 1 species
GCGGUGGAUGAUGUGGUUUAAUUCGAUGCAACGCGAAAACCUUACCUACCCUUGACAUGCCAGGAACCCUGCAGAGAUGUGGGGUGCUCGCAAGAGAGCCUGGACACAGGUGCUGCAUGGCUGUCGUCAGCUCGUGUCGUGAGAUGUUGGGUUAAGUCCCGCAACGAGCGCAACCCUUGCCAUUAGUUGCUACGAAAGGGCACUCUAAUGGGACUGCCGGUGACAAACCGGAGGAAGUGGGGAUGACGUCAAGUCCUCAUGGCCCUUAUGGGUAGGGCUACACACGUCAUACAAUGGCCGGUACAGAGGGCUGCCAACCCGCGAGGGGGAGCCAAUCCCGUAAAACCGGUCGUAGUCCGGAUUGCAGUCUGCAACUCGACUGCAUGAAGUCGGAAUCGCUAGUAAUCGCGGAUCAGCAUGUCGCGGUGAAUACGUUCCCGGGUCUU